UUAACUAUUAUAUAGUACUCAGACGACAAAUUACAAAGAGUGUUGGGUCCUCUGGCAUGCACUGACCAGCAAAAGCCGGUGGUCAUUAAGACGGGCCUGCCAAAGCAACAAAGGUAUUAUAAACAAAGGGUGGGAGAUAUACCCCAAAGGGCAUUUUCUCUGUAAUGAUCCUUCCGCAGGUUCCACAAAUAAAGGGUUCGCUAGAACCAGUGCUCGAUCAUAUCUUAACCCAUAGGGGCCACCUCUAUUUGACCUGUGAACUCAACUAAAUGAGCCGCUAGUAAUACAAAUGUAAAUCCUAGCAGGGUAGAGAUGUUGCCUAUUAACAUAGACUUUUACAAGCGUAGGCAAACCUAAUGACCUACGGAAA
rnacentral:misc_RNA from 1 species